AUGUAUGCUUUGGAAACUGUUAGACUNGAGUGCAGAAGGGGAGAGUGGAAUUCCAUGUGUAGCGGUGAAAUGCGUAGAUAUAAGGAGGAACACCGGUGGCGAAAGCGGCUCUCUGGUCUGUCACUGACGCUGAGGCUCGAAAGCGUGGGUAGCGAACAGGAUUAGAUACCCUGGUAGUCCACGCCGUAAACGCUGAGUGCUAGGUGUUAGGUCCUUUCCGGGACUUAGUGCCGACGCUAACGCAUUAAGCACUCCGCCUGGGGAGUACGACCGCAAGGUUGAAACUCAAAGGAAUUGACGGGGGCCCGCACAAGCGGUGGAGCAUGUGGUUUAAUUCGAAGCAACGCGAAGAACCUUACCAGGUCUUGACAUCCCGAUGCCCGCUCUAGAGAUAGAGUUUUUCUUCGGAACAUCGGAGACAGGUGGUGCAUGGUUGUCGUCAGCUCGUGUCGUGAGAUGUUGGGUUAAGUCCCGCAACGAGCGCAACCCUUAUUGUUAGUUGCCAUCAUUAAGUUGGGCACUCUAGCGAGACUGCCGGUAAUAAACCGGAGGAAGGUGGGGAUGACGUCAAAUCAUCAUGCCCCUUAUGACCUGGGCUUCACACGUGCUACAAUGGUUGGUACAACGAGUCGCAAGCCGGUGACGGCAAGCUAAUCUCUGAAAGCCAAUCUCAGUUCGGAUUGUAGGCUGCAACUCGCCUACAUGAAGUCGGAAUCGCUAGUAAUCGCGGAUCAGCACGCCGCGGUGAAUACGUUCCCGGGCCUUGUACACACCGCCCGUCACACCACGAGAGUUUGUAACACCCAAAGUCGGUGAGGUAACCAUUUAU
rnacentral:rRNA from 1 species